ACGAACGCUGGCGGCAUGCCUAACACCUGCCAGUCGAACGCGACCUUCGGGUCUAGUGGCGCACGGGUGCGUAACGCGUGGGAACCUGCCCUUAGGUUCGGAAUAACUCCCCGAAAGGGGUGCUAAUACCGGAUAAUGUCUUCGGACCAAAGAUUUAUCGCCUUUGGAUGGGCCCGCGUUGGAUUAGCUAGUUGGUAGGGUAAAAGCCUACCAAGGCGACGAUCCAUAGCUGGUCUGAGAGGAUGAUCAGCCACACUGGGACUGAGACACGGCCCAGACUCCUACGGGAGGCAGCAGUGGGGAAUAUUGGACAAUGGGCGAAAGCCUGAUCCAGCAAUGCCGCGUGAGUGAUGAAGGCCUUAGGGUUGUAAAGCUCUUUUACCCGGGAUGAUAAUGACAGUACCGGGAGAAUAAGCUCCGGCUAACUCCGUG
rnacentral:rRNA from 1 species